CCUCCCUCCCUCCCUCCCUCCCUCCCUUCCUCCCUCCCUCCCUUCCUUUCCUUCUCCCUGCCCCCCCACCAAGUCUUGCAGUUGAUGAGCUGCUUUUUCAAAAUCACACACAGAUGCUGUUUCCAGCAGCCACCCUGCCUGUUAGCCCACUCCUGCCAAUCACUGACCACUGUAAUUAUUUAAUUGUAUCUUUUUGUUUGGAGGUAUUGUUGCAAAAUGGGUAUCCUUCAGCAUAUGUGUAUUUUCUCAUUUAUGUAAAUAACAUUAUUUCAUAUGUUGCAUUUUGCUUCCUAUUUUGGGCACCAGGUGUAAUGUUUUUAGGGUUGAUCCACAUUGCCAUGUAUAUACCUAUUCUAUUUAACUUUGUGCUUCCCAGUGGCAGACCCUAAGACAAGGGUUUGGGUGCAAGGCAGUUUACUUGGGUGGUGGUCCCGUGGAGGAGGAAGUGGGAUGGGCUGAGAACGAAUGAAGCCAGUUAAAUGUGUUAUGAAGCCACCCUGUCCCAAGGGAGGUUCUGAGAGAUGGGGUAUACCUGGCACCUUAGAGUUACCACUCCCCAGGGUGUAGGGAGGUGUGGUCUUUACAUACCAAUUCCUGCCAGCUAUUGGUUGAGGGCUGCCCCCAGCACUGGGUGACAGCACUGUGUGCCUGUGUGUGUGUGUGCACGUAUGUGUUGGGGGGUGGGCGCGCAAAUGGCAAAUGCAGCAGAUGGAAGCUCACUGCUGUGUGGAGACAUGAUGCCGUGGAGGGAGACGGAGCCGGCCCUGACUGGAACUGCCACACCAUUGCCUCCAACCGCUGCCUCCACCUGCUGCAUGCCAUUCCCUCUGCAUCUCGCCAGCUCCAGCCCUUUGCCACAGGCAGCUGUGCCAUGAACAUCUGCAUGUGCAGACUUGUGCCAGAACUUUGGGGGGUGUACACUUUGGAACACACUUGCUAUCUCAGAUGGCAUGUCUGUUUCCUCUGAGUGAGAAUCCCUGGAUGGCUGCACCUAUUCUAUAGUCUCUGCCUCCAUGCUGAUGGUACCUGUGGGCCUGCGUGCCCAUUCAUCUCAGUCUCCUCCCACUUUACAGAUGGCAAAGGAGAGGCCCAGAGAGGGGAAUAGAUGCCCCCAGACUGACUCAGGCAGCAGUGCAGAGGAAGGUUGUGGGAUGCCAUGGUGCCUCAGAUGGUCCUUGGAGAAUAUUCAGGGUGGCACCUGCACCUGCCUUAAAUGUCACUAACAUCAUAAAGUGCCGAAGUUACUAAGUUUUCAGUUUUCCUUCAUUUACUUCUCUUUACGUUAAGAAGAAAAUGCCUGUUUGAGAUUCUUCCCUCCAGACUCACCACACUUCAGGUCUGGAGCUCCCAGUGUGGCCUCUUCUGCUCAGGCUCCAGCUUUGGAUAGAAGUCUAUGACCUUGUAAAAUGUCUCCUUCCCUUUGAAGGAAGCAUUCAGGUUGGUGAAUAAAGCCCAGGUGGGUGAUAAGCUGGUCGGAGGUGUGCGUGUAUGUGUGCGCGUUCCUUCCCAGUUCCUUAAAUCAACAGCCUUUCACUCUGGGCUGCUGGAUGGGCUGAGCAAAGAGGGAAAAGCCAGCCCCAAAUCAGAAUGGGGUAACGGUAUGGUGUUUCCUGGGUAGGAGGAAGGCAUGAAUGGGGAUUAACUGAUCUAUGGUUAAACACCAGUUAUUGAAAUUCUUGGCACUGUGCUCUCCUUUCUGCCUUGGUAAUUCCAGUCCAGGGAAUUACAUAUUUCCCUGGGGCAUGAGGAUCUUCUCUAUAGGCUGUGAAUUUCCAGAAAGUGGGCACUGAAUCUGAAAAUCUUUAUCCUUAGCAUCUGGCACAAGACUUGGCACAGAGUAGGUGCUUGUCUUGUCUUUUGCUGUAAGUGAUGGAAGUGCAACUCCAACCGGCACCAGCAAAAUGAGAAAUUCAUUAACUUACCUAACUAAAAAUUCUAUGGAACAGCUUCAGGCACAGCUGGAUCCAGGUGAACAAGCAGUAUCUUCGGGACCUCUCUUUCCUCUCAUCUCUCAGUUCUGUUUUCUGCUGGGUUGGCUUCACUCGCAGCAGGUUCUCUCACAGUAUUGCCUCUGGCUGACCUUCUGAGGCCAAAGGGAAGCAAUCCAAGAAAAGAAAGCUUCUCUUUGCACGUAAUUGCUACGAAUGUUAUGAGGAACUCUCAAGGGACAAGUCCAGGUCACAUGCCCACCCACGAACCAAUCAUUGUGGCCAGGAAGAUGGGAUGUUCUGAUUGGCCAGACCUAAGUCCUCUGCCCUAGGGCUGGGGGUAGAGCGUGGGGGGCUGGGAAUAGGGUAGGCAGGUCACAAGGUUCACCCCACUGGAACUACAUGGACUAAGGGCAGUGGAUGGGGCGGUUUCCAGGAGGAAUACCGAGGUUAGCAGAGGAUGGGGGAUGGAUGUGGGGCAGAUGAAAACAAGAGACAUCGCUCUAAUGACCUGAAAGCUGCCAUGACAAGAGAGCUCGCACUGGUGCUGGAGGAAGCAGGAGGGCCCAAGAAGUUAAGUGCAGGAAACGUGAGGCCUGAGGCUGAUGCACAAGUCUCAGCUCUCCCACCUGCACUUAGUGUGACCUUAGGGCAACUCGGCCUCUCUAGACCUCAGUUUCUUUACCUGUAAAAUGGGGGCAUGUGGCAUAGAUUAUUGCUGGGGACUUUUACAGUCCUUCAGUCAUCCAAUUCUUCGUGUUUCUUUCAAUCAAUAUUUGUCAAGGGGCUUUGGAGUUAUUCCAAGCUGGAUCUGAAUCCCAGUUCUGAUGUUUACUCGCGGCAUCAGGCUUGACAGAUGCACCUUUUCAGAUGUGCUCAGCUCCGUCCUUCCCAGCCACCCAGCUGCACUGGCUGCUCUCCAGCCUCGGCUCACCGCCCCCCCCCCCCCCCGCCCCACUGCAAGUGGCCCCGGGUCCACAGCUACAGUCACUGGGCCAGCUCAGCCUGCAGUAACGUGGCCCGAGGGCCGGACCUUGCCUCCCCAGAUCCCCAGCUGUCAUCCCAGCUGACAUGACCAGACCCUUGGCGGCAGGGGCCGAGGGGCUCUGGUGCCUCCUCUUCCAGACUCAGGUAAAGCUCUACCUGAGAAGGAACUGGCUUCUCUCCUGGCUGUGGGGAGACGCAGGUAACACAACCCAGAAGCAAGAAACAGUUGGGACCCAACCGUGACACACAGCAGACGGGAGCUGGGAUGCCAGUAGAGGAAGUUCUUGCCUUUCAUCCCUGCGGUACUGCCCGCGGCUUCCCUGGAGAUGCCCGAGUGCUGCAACUCCUGGCCGUGUUUCGGGAGAAGCUGUGGCCCACCCAGUAAGGCAUGUGCUGUGUUUGCUUGCUUCUCUCCCUGCCUUAGAGUCCCUUUGGGCUGCGAUUCCAUCCCCAAUAAAACAUCAGCAAGUAACUUUUGUCUCAGGCUCUGUUUUCUAGGGAACUCAGACUAAGAUACUAUGGCUGCGUGACCUCAAGCAAUUUACUUAACCUCUCUGAGCUUCAGAUGCCGAGUGUGUAAAAGGUAGAUAAUGAAAGAGAAUCUCUUAUAGGAUGCUUGUGGCACUUAAUAAGACAGUGCAGGAGAAGUACUUGGU